rnacentral:rRNA from 1 species
AUCCACACGACUCUCGGCAACGGAUAUCUCGGCUCUCGCAUCGAUGAAGAACGUAGCGAAAUGCGAUACCUGGUGUGAAUUGCAGAAUCCCGCGAACCAUCGAGUCUUUGAACGCAAGUUGCGCCCGAGGCCAUCCGGCCGAGGGCACGCCUGCCUGGGCGUC